AUACAAAUCAAGUAGAUCUACUAAAGGCAUUUUUAAUAUGUCAGACAGCGGUAUUAUACAACCCGAACGAAUACCUAUCCGUGAUGUUCAAGAAUAUACAACACAUACCUGGAGAAGCUGGAAACGUAAGCAUGUUUACCUGGUAAAUGUGACAUUCUUCAGACAGGAGAAAGUGAAGCAGGUCUAUGUUUUUCAAAAAAGUGCGACCAAGGUUGCCACAUUUCACUCAGAUAAACUGCUUCGUGAAUCUCGUCGAGGACUAGCACAUUCACUUCCAAAUAACACGAGGAGUCACCAUAGUUGGUGUGUGUUAUCCAACAUGUUAAUAGUACCCAACGGAAUCAAUGGACAGAAUCAUAUUUUCUGUGUAUUAUUUGGAACUUCAAGUUUAUCUUUUAUCAGUCAAGACGAUCUGGGUGAGUGGU